AAAAAAAUCUGCCAUAGUAUAUGUAACAUCCCCUUUUCAAAGGGAAAGGCUGUGAUUUUUGUACAUAGUCUUUUAUACUAGCAAUAACCGUCUAACAGUUUGGCGCUGAAGUGACAGUGGUCCCGAAUUCCAAGUAAUUAAGUCAAUUAAGAUUUCAGCUAUCCUCUUCUUCCUCUGGUGCAGAAGUGGGAGCUACCUGGAACUUCUUUUGUGCUGCACACACUCCAUAGUCCUGUCUCGGACUUGAUACAGCCUUCAGAGCUGGUGAACACUGAUCCUCAGCUGGCCAGAGAGGUUACUCCAGAAUACGGCCACUUGCUACCAGAUAUCCACAAGGCCAUUGCCACCUUUGACCACAAUCCCACCUUCCCAAGCACUCCUCCAAAACAAGCUGCCUUCCCAAGGUUGCCUAACCCAGGAGCCUCAGUCGUGGACCAGGACAAAAGAUGGGCCCUGCCUCAAAGAGCUAACAAUCUAAUGGCCCUAGAUUUCUGCAAUUGGAUCCACACAGAGGGACCCUUGUGUUUGGUCAGAGCCCCAUUGUUGGACUGAGGCUGCAGUUUUCAUAUUUAUUAAAUUAAUAAUAUUAAGCUUUAUCUGAACACCUCUCUCCCAAAUGCAUAACUAUGAACGAGGCAAGCAACAUAUCAAGAGUUUUUGCUUUAUAGCUGUAAGGGAUUAACUUCCUUCUGAAAAUGAGGAAAGUCAAAUAAUAGAGAGGUUAGGUUGCGUGGGAUGCUUAAAAUCUGAGCUAGGGAAGAGCCCCUUUGAAAAUAACAUGUCUGCUAGUCAACACUCUGAUCAAAUCUGCUUGUAUGUUGCAUACCUUUUCCACAUCCUUUUUCUGCCUUUUCUGUUUAUAUAUUAAGCUCUCUGAGCCAGGGAGCGUCUUUCUAUGGAUUUGUACAGUAUCUAGUACAAGGAAGUGUUCGGCUCCUUGUUGGGACCUCUGGGUGUCACUGUCAUACACAUAAUAAAUAGCAGUAAUUCAUAAAAGCCUUGCUGAACCGAAGUAGGUGAUAAGUAAGGAAAGGUUAUCUUGAACAACAAAGCAUUAUCUAAAAUUGGUGAUAAAAACAAGCACAAACUGCUGUCAAAGGAAUUGCAUGAAUUGAGUUUAAGAUGAAAUUGAAUAGGGGGAUGCCCUCCAAGGAUACAUGUUGGUAUAAUGAUGGACUAGGAAUUCCUUGAAAUGGAAAGAAAUGCCUAUACUCAGAACAGUGGAAACUGGAUUGAAUGAUCAAAUUGUUGGGAGCGUGAUAGCUAACCACUCCCUUUCGGGACAUUUUAGAGGGAAAAGAACAUCAACAUCCGUGUUUCAGGAUCUUACAGUCCCCAGGGUAACCCUGGUGAACUUGUAUGCAACAGAUAAUAUCGUCACUAGUGGACUUUGGAGGCAUUUCUUGUUACAUUCAGGCAACAGUGAAGCUGUUAUGCUAUCACAAUUAAAUCAGCUGAAUCCAAAGCAAUCUCUGGGAACUAAGAUAUGAGCAUCCUGCUCUCCAUUCCCCCUGCGAUAUUCUGUUUUCUUUCUUUUCUGUUUGGCUUUUGCCUAAAGAAACUCAAUCAAUUUAGUUUAUCAAAGUGAAGAUUUACAAGGUGACUUUGACUUGAACACUGUCUAUAAAUACCCUGCAUAGGGAAAAGACUUCAAUCUAGAAGAAAAAAGCGUAACCAGAUCCAAUGGCUGGAAGCUGAAGUUAGAUAAAUUCAUACUAGAAAUAAGGUGCAAAUUUUUACCAGUGAGAGUAAUUAAUCAUUGGAACAAUUUUGCCUAAGGAAGUGGUGGAUUCUCCAUUACAGGAAGUUGUUAAGAUUAGCUGGCUUUUUAAAUGAGAUGGUCUAACACGGGGGUUGGUAACCUUUAAGAAGUGGUGUGCCGAGUCUCAUUUAUUCACUCUGAUUUAAGGCUGCGCAUGCCAGUCAUACAUUUAAACAUUUUUAGAAGGUCUCUUUCUAUAAGUCUCUAAUAUAUAACUAAACUAUUGUUGUACAUAAAGUAAGCAAGGUUUUAAAAAUGUUUAAUAAGCUUCAUUUAAAAUUAAAAUAAAAUGCAGAGUCCCCCGGACUGGUGGCCAGGACCCAGGCAGUCAGAGUGCCACUGAAAAUCAGCUUGCGUGCUGCCUUUGGCACACAUGCAAUAGGUUGCCUACCCCUGCUCUAGCACAACCAGAAGUGAUCAUAUUGAUGCAGGAAUCACUUAGUGAAAUUCUCUGGUCUGUGUUAUGCAGGAGGUCAGACUCAAUAAUAGUCACAUCUGGUCUUAAAAUAGAUUAAUCAGUUCCAAGAUUAACCAUCUUUGAAAUUAACUGAACUCCACAUUAUCAUCCCCAUAACAAGACAGAACAGGCUAAGACUUGAACCAGAUUUGCACCAACAUGAAGGAAGACCAAUGAGAAGAAACCAGAGCAGACCAGCCAGAUGUCAUCCCAGACUGGGGAAGCGAAUGGGGUGAAGAGGAUAAAAUGCACCAGUUUGUGACUGACCUGUGUACCAUAUCCUGCCUACGGCAUGUGAAUUAAGCAGGCAGCAGUGAGAGAGAAGUUCUUCUUUCUUUCCUUUCCCUUCUCUUCUUUUGUGUGCAUUUGCCUAAAGAGCAGGACUGAUCAUAACAAGAACAACACCAGCAGCAGACUGAAACACUUUUCUCCAACAAAGCCUUCUGGUACCAGCAAGAAACUUUUGAAAUCAACAUUUUCCCUCUGAAAGACUUUGAAUGUGAAUGAAAUAUGAAGGAUAUUGAAUAUAAUAUAAUGAAUAACCAUUUAACUUUGAAUUCCAAGAAUUUUAAUGUUUCUAUUUUGCAUGUCUUUUUUUUUUUUUUAAACAAAUGUUUGGAAGGAUUGUCCUAGUGUGGUCAUUAUGGGAAAAGCAUCCCUUUUACACAAGAACCUGAAUCCACAAUUAACAGUUUCGUGUUUAAAUAGGAAAACACAGGUUCUAGUAUCACCUUAGCAUCUUGGAGCCUAGUACCUAUCUAUCACAACAUAACACAAUGGUGAUUUGUUGGUUUAUAUAUUUAAUCUCAUUAGUGGUGCAAUAAUUAAAUAGACAUAUCUUGCCAACAGCAUAUCACAUUUUAUUUGUGCUAACUGUGCUAAUUAACUGUAUUCACUGAGCAAAAUGCACUAAAUUAAAGAAAUUAAGAGAUUCCAAGUUCCACCAUUGUAGCACCAAGCCUUUCUCUUGGAGCAAAUCCAAAUUGCCUUCUGUAAAACCUUUAAUAUGUCUCCAACACAUAAAACUAAUCCUCAUCUUGCAAAAUUUUUAUUUUAGUUAUCUUGUAGAAAGCCUUGUGUACCUAGAUCCUAAGAUCUCUAGAAUGACCUAUACACUCAGGAUCACUGGAUAGACCCAAUAAUGGCAGAUUUUCUUCUGUUUGCUGCUAUGUAGUAGGAUUGAAUCUUGCCUGCUGUUUUUGUAUGCCAGAUGCAAAUUUUUUAAAAAAUAAAAUUCUUUUGGCAGGA